rnacentral:precursor_RNA from 1 species
UCAGACUUGAGAUGAUUCCCUGCAUGCAGAAAAUAUAAGAAAAAAGGAGGAGAAGAAAAACACAUAAUCAAAAAACAGAAAAUGUAUAUUAAUCUGUUGGAACUUGAAACAAGUAUGAAAUUAAAGAUGGGGUGAGGGGGUUUUUGAAGGAGUAAAAGGGGUUGAUGAAUGAUGAUGGAAAGGUGGGAUAUGAUCUGACCUUCUGUGAUCUUCCACAGCUUUCUUGAACUGUUUUGGAAGCCUUCCACUUCCAUGCAAUGGAGGAGUUCAACCAACAGCUCAGGAAAGUUGUGGAACAUUACUGAGAGAGGAUCAUCUAUGAACACUCCUGUUGAUUUGAUCUUCCCAGGUUUAUACUGUUGUUAAUGGAGAAUGAGGAUCUGGGAGAGAGAUCUAGUGAGAAAGAUGUGUGAGAGAUAAGAGAAAUGAAAGGGAAAUGGUAGAUGAGCGGGACUGACUGAAAACUCAUUUAUAGGAGUGGGUUGGUGACUAGCCUCUGGUAAUUUCA